GGGGUUUAGGUCAGUAUAUACUGUAGAUAAAGGGUCAGGGGUUAAGGUUAGAGGUCAGUAUAUACUGUAGAUAAAGGGUUAGGGGUUUAGGUCAGUAUAUACUGUAGAUAAAGGGUUAAGGGUUAAGGUCAGAGGUCAGUAUAUACUGUAGAUAAAGGGUCAGGAGUUUAGGUCAGCAUAAACUGUAGAUAAAGGGUUAGGGGUUAAGGUCAGAGGUCAGUAUAUACUGUAGAUAAAGAGUUAGGGGUUUAGGUCAGAGGUCAGUAUAUCCUGUAGUUUAUAGUUAAAGGGUUUUGGUUAUAGGUAUAAAAUGAAUAUCAUUAAAAUGCAUCAGAAUAUCGAUUUGUGACAGGCAUAGAGUACAGUUGUAGCUAAAAAUAUUCACAUAAUGAGGUCCUGGCUAUAGGAAUGUUUCUAAGCAUCUCUAUGUUUCCUGGUGGUGAUAGUCAGGGCCUGACAGCAGAGGUGCCUCUUGGUAUCUCUGCGCGGUGGGUUUUGGUUAUUCCAAAUUAGAGGCAGCUGCCCUGGGUUGCCUCUAAUUGGGGAGCACAUUUAAAUUUAAAAACCACUCUCUGUGGUUCAUUGUUUAUUCAGCCUACAUACCAUUUCUCGGUUUGUGCCUAUUCUUUUGUUGUCUGUAAGACAAACAAAAGGAAUGACUCAGCACCACAACUCUGCGCCACUUGUUCUGCCUCUCCACAACUGUAAUACAUACAUUAUUGAAAUAUUUGCCCCAUUUAAAAAUUAUUUCCCAUUUCAUCAAAAUUGAGUAAGAAAAUGAAGAACCAGAUCUUACAGGAGGCUGGACGUAAAUAUGCACCUAACCCCAUUAUCGUUUAUGUUUUGACUAAAAUAUGCACUUAACCCCAUGAUCAUUUUUAAUGGUUUGACAAAAAU
ensembl:lncRNA